AGAACAUGUAAUAACGUGAUUUAAAUUAGUUUACAAAGUAAGAUUUAAAUAUUGGCUUUUAUGUUGUCUGGAUGAUAUCUACCCAGUUUUUUGGAUGUUCUGGACUGUUUUGUUCAACAACAGAAAUGAUCUAACCUCACUGAAAACUUUAUUAUGUUAGUUAAACAAAUGGAAAUGUAACAAAACAGAUGAAAUGAAUAAAAACAGACCUUGAAAAACUUAAGUCCACCAAGACCCAGCAAAGAAGCCACAGACUAUCAGUCAGCUUAGGUCUUUAAAACUAACAUCAAAAUAAGUUAGGAAUUAAGCAAGGCAGCUAUCAAAUCAAGAACAAGCCAAUUAUCAGUCUCCUUUACUUGAACUCAGUUCUGGUUAUGAUAAUUUUGCCUUCUGGAACUGCAUCAAGCAGUGGUAUUACACAACAUACACCAAGAGAUCACUCUUGAUGAACAGAAUUUGAUAACUUUUCUUUCUCAGAUGCAGUAAUUUCAGAACCCCAUGGACAUUAAACACAAACCAUAAAACAAUAAUUAACUUGUAAAGUACAUUUACAGAGAGAAGACUGAGGAACUUGAAAGCACCAUGUUAAGGUGCAAGAAGGCUACAGCAAGUUAUGAGUGAAGGGCAGGCUGCGCUGUCUCUUGGAUACUGGGAGUGUUUAGGAACAGAGGGAUGGUUUGGCUAUGGACAUCAAUCUGUUACAGUAAGGGAUAUGGGAUCUGCCCUUGUUGUCACCCAGCUGCUCAUUACAAUUCCUCUACUUGAAGUCCUCUUGCAGUCUGAGUCACUGGGAGUCCCCGAGAGUUUCUGGAUGGAGUUGAAGCCUGGACCUCCUGGCCCUAACGUCAUGCAGCCUUGGUCCACAAGGGACAGACCGUUGUGUUUCUCACCAUGGUUCACCACAGCCAGCACACUGGAGUACCAUCAGUGCAAAAAGAGAUGGGCUGCUCAUCCCUGUAAAGGCCCCCAGCUGUACAUGAAAUUGAUCCAAAAACAUUUAGGGGAAGGGAACCAACACUUCUCUACUGGAAAUGUAUCAAAGGGCAAAAUCCAGCACCUUGUAUCAUCUGGCUUACUAAUGCUACAUGUUCUUUCCAGGUCUUCUGUCAAAAUAGAUGCAGGACAAAAGAGAUUAUUUUUGAUGCUCCUCUGCAUGCUCCAGCUGUGCAGAUAGAGAAGCUCCAGGAGUGACCAAGGGAAAAAGCUUUGUGUUGUGAAUUGAUUUCUUCGAUGUCUCAUCACAUAUAAGAAUCCUCCCACUGGCUGAAGUGCUGACUUCCUUUCACACCCAGCAGCUGAAACAAGACUUCCCAACACUCACUUUCUUACCAAAUUCAGUUCUUUAAGGGAAUUCCAGUGAUUUCAGCAGUUACACUGGCAUACAACUGAUACAAAGAAGUGAUGAAUCAGACUCUGUAGAAGAAAUCCUAGCCCAUUGAAUUCAGCAGGAAUUCUGCCAUUGACCUCAAGAGAGAAACGUUUUUACUGAUAGUUCUGAGGAAGACAGUUUCACAAAGCUCGCAGUAAAGAAGAGUGUGUAUCACUUCCUCCCUUGUGACUAAUCCUGCUCCCUUUACUGACUUUGCUCUGAUAUCUGGGAAGCCUCAGAAAACCUAUCUGCCACCAGAACAGUGAGCAAUUCCUAAGGAAACAGAUGAAUCAACAAAGUUAGAACCACUUUCAUCCUUUCUACACAAACGAUAUGUUGUAUUCCCGUCUGAUAGACCUAUGAAGGGAAAGCAGCUCAGGAUGGCCAAUGGUUUCCCUCACCAGUGCAGUCACUAAAGAGAAUCAAGAAUCAGGAAGUCAGACUACACUCUGCAAUUGCUUCUUCAAACCUUAAAAAUCAAGGAGACAUGGAGCGAAUGACUGUAUUGGGUUUGAGUCAAUGGAGAAUUACGUUCUGCUGCAUCUGGAGAGGAUAAGAAUUUGCAGGAAUCGUGGUAAAAUAUCUGUACUAAAAAAGGAAUGAGUUGUUUCAAAUAAAAAAUUUGUGUGACUUGUUGCUAAUUCCAAAGAAAGAGGAUAGAGAUUAAAUAUGAGGCACAGGCUGUAAACUAUUCAGGAUGGCUUUCAUAGCUCAAAGGGUAUAAUUAAAAGUAUGGAACAAACUGCCAAAGUCUACGAUGGAAAUGAAUAGUGUAACACCAGGUCAAAAGGGAUCUGGACUCAUUUCUGGAAGAAGAGACAAUGCACAGCUGUUAGAGUGUAUUUUAAAGGAUGAAGAUGAUCAGUUACUGCAUGAAUUGAUUGGUAUUUCCUGGGCAUGUUCUGUUAGAAUUUUAGUAUCUCCUGGACCUUCGGUCGUUGUUUGUUUCUGGCAACUGCAUCCAUACAGGAGCAAAUGUCUUCCAUUGACUUGAAAUUUAUAUUGUAGAAUAAAAUUACUGUUUUCUCCAGCAAAAAUUCCUCGGUGGAAAGGAAUUUUCAUAUUAUUGCCAUGACAUCAGUUCAUUCAGAAAAGAUAAGCAGCUAACUACAUACCCUGGAGUCUUGUAUUCUCUUAAAUCAUCAGAAUCUGGGAGCAUAAUCAACUGCGUAUACACGUCUGUGUAAUUAAUAUCCAAACAACUGCAUACACCUUUUGAGUUACACUGGCUCUACAGUCUAAAUAAUGUAAUGCACUAUGUAAAAACUCAAAAUAAGAAACAAAGUGACAGGGUUGGCAAUAGCCUGAUGGAAGGACACUGUAAACAUCCAUGAAUCCCACUUUAGUAACUUAUCCAGACAUUCCAGAGGCCAAGGCCAAAACAGACCAUCCAAGUUAGAUGGAGGCAGGCAAAGACAAAACUGAGGGGCUUUAGAGAACCUGAUGCUCACAAAUGUCUUGAAUGUCAUAGUCAACCCCUUCACAUAGUGCCACUCAGAUGUUUCAUUGCCUUGAGAGAAGAGCUUUCUGCUUCUUCAACAACUGUGAUAUCACUAUGAAGAGUCCAUUUCCACACUGCUGGCACAGAAAAAAGAGACACUCUAAAGGAGGAGUUGCUGGAGUGAGAAGAAGUUACAAGCAUCUGGAUUUACUGGACAAGGCUUGGGGAAAUUCUUGGAGAAGACUCUAUUAAGCUGAAAGGCUGAAGACUAAUGAGCACUGCCUGCUCUGUUGCAUUCCUAGAGCUUCCAUUUAUUUGAGGCUGGAAAUGGUUGCUGUAUCCUUUUAGCAACUCCUUCAUUAGAUGCAAGCAGCAGGCAUGGAGAACCUUGUGAAGCUGGAUUCACCCACUUUUUACACUCUCCGUCAUCUUGUAAGCUCCAAGGAGAAACCCUCACUUUCCUGGGAUGACGGAGAGAAGGAAUCACAGUUCCACCACAGCAAAUAAGUGUCAUCACUUUCCUUUCAGAUCCAAGGAAGUAUUUGGGUUUUUUUUUAAAGAAGCAAAAGAAGAACCCUCUUCUCUAGCAAGCAACAACAAAGUAAAAUACUGGCACCUUUCUUUGAGCUGAAAAGAAAAACAUUGUCAGAAAUGCUGUGGGGCUGUGUGCUGGGUGUUCAUGGUCCUCAGCUGUGUCUGAGAUGACAGCUCAGGAGCUUUUAGUCCUUCUCAGGAACUUUUUAGUCUCCUCAGCCAUAACAUAGGAGUCAAAUAUAAGCUCACACUGUUUUUUAUGGUUAGUGGAUUGCACUACUGCACUGACAAAACCCAUGCUUUUAUAUACCUUAAACCCUUGUAGACACAGGAGAUUUAAAGAAAGGACAGUCUAAAUAAAUAAAUAAAUACUGCUAUCCCUAGCAGAGAUCUCAGCACUGCAGCACUCCAUUCACUUGCAAAUAGAGUUUAUGAUCCUGAGUCCCCUGGGCAGGAAUGAAUUCUGCUCCUCAACCAGCACAGGUGCAGGGCAGGGGAUGGACAGUGCUGCAGGUCCCAUGGGUGGAGUGAGACACUUGCCUUUGCUCUCCAUCUCCCAUUGCUGGAGCAGGGCCAGUGUUUCCAGACUCCUGCUACCUUGCUCAGCCCAAGCCCACGGCACUUUCUGUUUGUUUAACACUGUCUGGCAGCCUUGAGAUAACGGGGAUGUUUCUGGCUGGCCUCACAGCUCCCCAGCACCAAAUGAUCUGCAGACCCAGGCUGCUUCAGACACUCCAGAUCCCCAAGUGGGCCAUAAAGCCCAACAUAAGCAGGUCAGAGCUCAACUGUAGGUUACUGCAGGAGCUCCAAGAUACUUGCUAGGCACCCAGGCACUCUGCUCAUCCCCUAGUCUUCAGCAAAGUCUCAAGAAGGGUUGGCCACAGAAAUCCCUGUGUAGGAAAUGCCUUUCAGCUCAAAACAAAUGAGAAUGAGUGCAUCAAAAAUAUCACAUGUAUACACAUGUGUAUGUAUGCGUGUAUGUAUAUUUAUGAACUUUCCCUUUCAAAGACGUGCUGAGGAUGGGAAGACUUACAGGCCCUUCAAUGGUGCAGAGCCGUCAGCAAGGCGAAAAUAGGAAAGUACAGCAGCUGCAAGUCCUCAUACAACAUCUCACUUAAAAUGUCAUGUGUGCUACUUGGUUUAAAUUGUCACCCCUCCAGCAACCACAAACAAUGCAGAAACAGCAGAUGUGUUUUCUAUUUAGAAUUAAACAGUUUAUCUCAACCACUGUCAUUGUUACAGAGGGAAAAUAAAUAAAUAUCCAUGUUAAUGUAAACUUCAAAAGGUACUUUCUGGCAUGAAUGGCUGUUCUGAAUCCAGACUUCACUGAGAAAACCAGGAUUUGUCCACAGAUUUUUUUCUUUCUUUUUUCUUUUUUUUUUUUUUUCCAAUAGGGAUGCUGGCAGCCCAGCAUGUAGUAAAACUUAGACUGGUCAAAAAGAUUUUUUGGCCAGAUAUAGCAUCCAAUAACUCAUGUCAUUUAGACUUAAUGGUCCAGAAAAUUAAAGUAAACAUCAUAAAUGUCUUUUGUUAUUAAACUUUCCAUUCAAACUUUUUGUUUAACUCUUACUUAAUGGAAAGUAAAGAUGACAUUUCAAGUCACAUAUUUACCUAUGUUGUAAUCUUGAAGUCAUCUCAUUGAGAUUUAAAAAUGUGCCACAAUUUCAGCCUAGGCAAGAACUCAGUAAGAAAAAAAAGCUGAUGUGUGCAUGUGCUCUGAAGAAGUUAAGGUGAUGAUAAAUUCAGCCCGCACAGAUUAAGGUCAAUUCAUUGUUCAAUUCUUAGUUUUACAGGUCUAUAGCUCUGUUCUUUGUAGGGGCAAACAGCAUCU
rnacentral:lncRNA from 1 species